rnacentral:rRNA from 1 species
GACGAACGCUGGCGGCGUGCUUAACACAUGCCAGUCGAACGGAAAGGCCCUGCUUUUGUGGGGUGCUCGAGUGGCGAACGGGUGAGUAACACGUGAGUAACCUGCCCUUGACUUUGGGAUAACUUCAGGAAACUGGGGCUAAUACCGGAUAGGAGCUCCUGCUGCAUGGUGGGGGUUGGAAAGUUUCGGCGGUUGGGGAUGGACUCGCGGCUUAUCAGCUUGUUGGUGGGGUAGUGGCUUACCAAGGCUUUGACGGGUAGCCGGCCUGAGAGGGUGACCGGCCACAUUGGGACUGAGAUACGGCCCAGACUCCUACGGGAGGCAGCAGUGGGGAAUAUUGCACAAUGGGCGGAAGCCUGAUGCAGCAACGCCGCGUGCGGGAUGACGGCCUUCGGGUUGUAAACCGCUUUCGCCUGUGACGAAGCGUGAGUGACGGUAAUGGGUAAAGGAGCACCGGCUAACUACGUG